rnacentral:rRNA from 1 species
UACGGGGGGGGCAAGCGUUGUUCGGAAUUACUGGGCGUAAAGGGCUCGUAGGUGGCCAACUAAGUCAGACGUGAAAUCCCUCGGCUUAACCGGGGAACUGCGUCUGAUACUGGAUGGCUUGAGUGUGGGAGAGGGAUGCGGAAUUCCAGGUGUAGCGGUGGAAUGCGUAGAGAUCCGGAAGAACACCGGUGGCGAAGGCGGCCUGCUGGGCAGUUGCUGACACUGAGGCGCGACAGAGUGGGGAGCAAACAGG